UACGUAGGGGGCAAGCGUUGUCCGGAUUUAUUGGGCGUAAAGAGCGUGUAGGCGGUUUGGUAGGUCCGUUGUGAAAACUCGAGGCUCAACCUCGAGACGCCGAUGGAAACCAUCAGACUAGAGUCCGGAAGAGGAGAAUGGAAUUCCUGGUGUAGCGGUGAAAUGCGCAGAUAUCAGGAAGAACACCCCGUGGCGAAGGCGGUUCUCUGGGACGGUACUGACGCUGAGACGCGAAAGCGUGGGGAGCGAACAGG
rnacentral:rRNA from 1 species